AGGGCGUAUGGUGGAUGCCUUGGCAGACAGGACCGAUGAAGGACGUUUGAGGCUGCGAUAUGCCUCGGGGAGCCGCCAACAGGGCUUUGAUCCGAGGAUUUCCGAAUGGGGGAACCCACCGACCGUCAUGGGUCGGUACCGGCUUCGGCCGGGGGGUACGCAGGGAAGUGAAACAUCUCAGUACCUGCAGGAAAGGAUAUUCCGUGAGUAGUGGCGAGCGAAAGCGGAUGAUGGCCAAACCUUGCGCGUGUGAUACCCGUCGGGGGUUGCGCGCGGGGUGUUGCGGGAUCGCGUGCGCCGGCUCCGACGGGCCGGCCGGCAGUUGCAGAAAACCAUGUGUCAGGGGAACCGGGUUGAAUACCGGGCCGCAGAGGGUGAGGGCCCCGUACCUGAACGCGCAUGGUCUGCCGAUCGCGUCUCCCAAGUAGCACGGGUCCCGUGGAACCCCGUGCGAAUCCGCCCAGACCGUUGGGUAAGCCUGAAUAUUCCUGUCUGACCGAUAGCGAACGAGUACCGUGAGGGAAAGGUGAAAAGUACCCCGGGAGGGGAGUGAAACAGUCUCUGAAACCGUGCGCCUACAAUCCGUCGGAGCCCUUUUGUGGGGUGACGGCGUGCCUAUCGAAAAAUGAGUCUGCGAGUCAGUGGCAUGUGGCGAGCAUAACCCGUGUGGGGUAUGCGUAGCGAAGGCGAGUCUUAAAAGGCGUUUGAGUCGCGUGUCCUGGACCCGAAGCGGGAUGAUCUAGCCCUGAGCAGGUUGAAGCGCGGGUAAGACCGCGUGGAGGACCGAACCCACCUGGGUUGAAAACCGGGGGGAUGACUUGGGGCUAGGGGUGAAAGGCCAAUCAAAUUCCGUGAUAGCUGGUUCUCUCCGAAAUGCAUUUGGGUGCAGCGUCGGGUCAUUACGUCCCGGGGGUAGAGCUACUGGAUGCUUGCGGGCCCGUAUCGGGUACCAACAGCAACCAAACUCCGAAUACCGGUGACGCGUAUCCCGGCAGUGAGUCGGCGGGGGAUAAGCUUCGUCGUCGAAAGGGAAACAGCCCAGACCGUCGUCUAAGGUCCCGAAGCGUGUGCUAAGUGGGAAAGGAUGUGGAGUCGCAUAGACAGCCAGGAGGUUGGCUCAGAAGCAGCCACCCUUGAAAGAGUGCGUAACAGCUCACUGGUCUAGUGGUUCCGCGCCGACAAUGUAGCGGGGCUCAAGCACACCACCGAAGACGCGGCAGUAUUUUGUACUGGGUAGGAGAGCGUCCCAUGAGGGGCGAAGCGGCCGUGUGAACGCGCCGUGGACUUCAUGGGAGUGAGAAUGCAGACAUGAGUAGCGAGAGACGGGUGAAGAUCCCGUCCGCUGGAUGACCAAGGGUUCCAGGGCCACGUUCAUCGUCCCUGGGUGAGUCGGGUCCUAAGGCGAGGCCGACAGGCGUAGUCGAAUGGAUGAACGGGUCGAUAUUCCCGUACCGGCUUUCAGCCGCCAAAACCGAGGCUUGGAGUACUAACCUCCGGGUCCGGGCUUACUGCUCCUUCGGGGGCGGGAUGCCCUGGCCUGUUGGGACCGAUCCUUGUAGUAGGUCAGCGCAGGAGUGACGCAGAAGGGUAGCCGGCCGCGGAGGUGGUCUUCCGUGGUCAAGCACGCAGGGCGUGGGACAGGCAAAUCCGUCCCGCAUGGGUCCGAGGUGCGAUGAUGGGGGCCUUAUGGCCCGAUAUCCGGUGAUCCCGGCUGCCGAGAAAAGCUUCGGCGUCAGGCUCGAAGCCGCCCGUACCCCAAACCGACACUGGUGGUCAGGUAGAGAAUACCAAGGCGAUCGAGCGAAUCCUGGUCAAGGAACUCGGCAAAUCACUCCCGUUCCUUCGGUUUAAGGGAGACCCCCGAUGGUGAACACACUUGCUGUGGGAGCUUUUGGGGGUGGCACAGACCAGGGGGUAGCGACUGUUUACCAAAAACACAGGUGCAUGCGAAGGCGCAAGCCGCUGUAUAUGCACUGACGCCUGCCCGGUGCCGGAAGGUUAAGAGGAUCCGUCAGCCUUCGGGUGAAGCGGUGAAUUCAAGCCCCGGUAAACGGCGGUGGUAACUAUAACCAUCCUAAGGUAGCGAAAUUCCUUGUCGGGUAAGUUCCGACCUGCACGAAUGGCGUAACGACUUCCCCACUGUCUCGACCAGGAGCUCGGCGAAAUUGCAGUACGAGUAAAGAUGCUCGUUAAGCGCAGAAGGACGAAAAGACCCCGGGACCUUUACUAUACCUUGGUAUUGG
rnacentral:rRNA from 1 species